AUGGUAUCAGGUGUCAAGUUUACUCUUGACAAGAAAGUGUCUUUACUUAGACACCUGAAAGCAUUUGGAGUCAUCACAAUGAUGUGGAGACCCUCUGCUUUGAUCUUAGGAGGAAUAUGUGAACUGGUUAAAGUUCCAGAAAGCUUGAUACAAAUUCAGCAUAUUAGUAAAAUAGAUGAUGCAAUCAAAAGAAGAAGUUUGUGA
rnacentral:lncRNA from 12 species